CCUGACGCAGCGACGCCGCGUGGAGGAUGACGCAUUUCGGUGUGUAAACUCCUUUUAUAUGUCAAGAAAAUGACGGUAGCAUAUGAAUAAGCACCGGCUAACUCCGUGCCAGCAGCCGCGGUAAUACGGAGGGUGCAAGCGUUACUCGGAAUCACUGGGCGUAAAGGACGCGUAGGCGGGAUGGUAAGUCUGAUGUGAAAUCCUACAGCUUAACUGUAGAACUGCAUUGGAAACUACUAACCUAGAGUAUGGGAGGGGGAGAUGGAAUUAGUGGUGUAGGGGUAAAAUCCGUAGAUAUCACUAGGAAUACCUAAAGCGAAGGCGAUCUCCUGGAACAAUACUGACGCUAAGGCGUGAAAGCGUGGGGAGCAAACGGGAUUAGAUACCCCGGUAGUCCACGCCCUAAACGAUGAACACUAGUCGUCGGGAUGCUUGUCAUCUCGGUGAUGCACUUAACAGAUUAAGUGUUCCGCCUGGGGAGUACGGUCGCAAGAUUAAAACUCAAAGGAAUUGACGG
rnacentral:rRNA from 1 species